UUGAAAUAUAAUAGGAAGAUGGCCAACAAAUCCUGAAGUUUAAAAAACAUUAAUCAAAAGAAAAAACAAUAAAUUUUAUAGAUAUAUGGACACUAUUACAUUCUACUGGACAAUACACGUGAAGAGAAGAAUAAACCAAUGACCUUGAGGCAAGCAAGAUUGACUUUCUUCUGAUCAGUGAAAAACUUAUCGAGAACACAGAUUUCAGACCAGCCAUGAUCUCAAGGAAAAAAACUUAACUUUAAAAAACGCAUUAUAGAUUAUUUUCGACUGCUGAGAGGAUCGAUGAUAAUAAACUUAAAAUGGUUCGAAUGAACUAGUAGGA
rnacentral:lncRNA from 1 species